GGUGCUUAGGCUACAUAAACCAAGGACCUUCAAAGUCCGAAAAAGUGACUAUCACUAGCACCUGCAAGACCU
rnacentral:tRNA from 1 species